UUUUUUUUAAUAAUAUAAAAUUAAACAAAAUGAAGAAAGAUGCAAAAAUUGUUAUCAAAUCUUUAUUAUUUAUAAUCAUUAAUUGCCAUAUAUAUGUAAAUCAUAUUAGAUAAUUUCGUAGCUUUUAUUUAGGGAACAAAUACACACUUCUUAUAUUUUAGGUUAAUAUAAUGUUCUCUAGUUGACAUUAAACAAAUUAUGACAUAAAAACCUUAUUUUUUUCCUCGAACACAAUUUUGAAAAAGUGAAUAGUAUUGUUUUCACAUUUGAAUUAUUUUGACUUUUAACUUACAUAUCGUUUUGAUAGCUUUCAAAUCAACCAUCGAACUGAUACAUGUCAUUUUAAUGUUUUUAGUCGUAUACUUAAGAAAAACUUACAUUUUUGUAAUUUAAAGUUGUUUUAAAAAAUUCAAAAUAUAACAUAUAAGAAAAAAUCUAACAUAUAAGAAAAAUAUAACAUAUAAGGUGUCCUCAUUUUUGUAUUUUAAAGUCGUUU